NNNNNNNNNNNNNNNNNGUGCCUCCCAGUUCAGCCCGGUGCCUCCCAGUUCAACCCGGUGCCUCCCAGUUCAGCCCGGUGCCUCCCAGUUCAGCCAGUGCCUCCCAGUUCAGCCCGGUGCCUCCCAGUUCAGCCAGUGCCUCCCAGUUCAGCCCGGUGCCUCCCAGUUCCACCAUUCCACUCCACUUUCUCCCCAUCUUCCCCCAGUUUCCCCUCCAUUUCUCCCAUUUCCCAUCCCUCCCAGUGCCUCCCAGUUCAGCCCAGUUCAGCCCACUCACUCCCACUUCAUCCCAGUUCCUCCCAGUUCCACCGUUCUGCUCCAUUUCCCCCCAUCUUCCUCCAGUUUCCCCCCCAGUCUCCUCCAUUUCUCCCAUUUUCCAUCUACUUCCUCCCACUUCCUCCCAGUGCCUCCCAGUUCAGCCCAGUUCCAUCGUUCCGCUCCAUUUUCCCCCAAUCUUCCUCCAGUUUCCCCUCCAGUCUCCUCCAUUUCUCCCAUUUCCCAUCUACUUCCUCCCACUUCCUCCCAGUGCCUCCCAGUCCCUCCCAGUUCAGCCCGGUGCCUCCCAGUUCCACCGUUCUGCUCCAUUUCCCCCCAUCUUCCUCCAGUUUCCCUCCAUUUCUCCCAUUUCCCAUCUACUUCCUCCCAGUUCCUCCCAGUUCAGCCCGGUGCCUCCCAGUUCAGCCCGGUGCCUCCCAGUUCAGCCCAGUUCCACCGUUCCGCUCCAUUUUCUUCCAGUCUUCCUCCACUUUUCCCUUCAUUUCUCCCAUCUCCCAUCUACUUUCUCCCAGUCCCUCCCAGUGCCUUCCUGUUGCUCCCAGUUCAUCCCAGUCUGUCCCAGUUCCUCCCAGUACCUCCCAGUUCCACCAUUCCCCACCGUCUCCCCCAACUUCCCCUCCAGUCCCCCUCAUUUCUCCCAUUUCCCAUCUACUUUCUCCCAGUGCUUCCCAGUCCCUCCCAGUUGCUCCCAGUCCCUCCCAGUUGCUCCCAGUCCCUCCCUGUCUCUUUCAGUCCCUCCCAG
rnacentral:lncRNA from 1 species